AGGGUGACCAUAGCAGCUGUGUGUUAUGAGGCCAUAAUACAGAAAGACCAGGGUCUUCAAAUGACUACAUAAAGCAGAGGUUUCCUCACCACCACACUUGGGAUUGUAAUGCAAAGAAGUUAUUUCUUUCAUCAAUAAAGGUUUAUUUCCCUUUAUUGAUGAAAACCACUGCCAUUUGGGGGUUAUAACAGCAGUCAGCACACUAUGACUAAUAGAGGCAGCAAGAAAUAAGAAGGAGAGAGAAAGGUGCCCAUGUGAAUUUUCCAGCAAAAGGUUAUCAUCCUAUGCUGUCUUUGAGAUGAGGCACUCAUGCUGUGCUCUGAAAGGAAUGAUAGAAUUACCUGAGAGUCUUCAAAACAGGGUCAGCAGCCAAGUGUGAUAUCCACCAAUCUAUUUGGACUUUAGCAGACAUAUCUUUGAGGAUCUGAAUUUUGUCAGGAAAAGUGAUCUAGAGGAUAAAUCAGCAUAAUUACAAAUACUCUCUGCUU
rnacentral:lncRNA from 13 species